rnacentral:lncRNA from 1 species
AAAAAAAAAAAAAAAAAAAAAAAAAAAAAAAAAAGGGCGGCCACGUCAGCAGGCCCGGUCAGCAGUCCCGGCCAACCAGGGCCUGCCACGUGGCAAGACCGCGUCACUCCAAAAGGAGCCACGCUGGCGAUCCGCGUGGGUGCGAUCCGACGGCCCAGAUCAAUCACGCGAUCGGACGGCCCAGAUUCAAUCAAAAACGAACGGCCCAGAUUAAAACAAAAUGAACGGCUGUGAUCAAAAGGCAAGGGGUUAUAAAUAGAACCUCCACACCAGACCACAAACCCUAGCCGCCAGCCGCUCGCCGGAGAAGACGAACCAGAGGCCGACCGCCGCCACCCGCCGCCACUCGCCGCCGCACCGGGGAAAUUUCCGACCGCCGAUCGAGGUAAAUUUCAUACCCCCGACUCGUUUUUCCCCACUGAUUCCUCCUAUGGCCAAAUCGAAGCCGAAAUCCCGGCCAAACGGCCGGAAUACGCGGCCGAAGCCCAGCGGCACCGCCGCGCCCCCUCUCGAUUUUUGCCUCCGACGAGGCCCUUCCCGGCCUCCGUUCGAUGCAAUUUUUAUAUCACCGUGAUCACCAUUCUUUUCUCUACAGGUUGACCGAAGCCAAAUCACCAAAACACGAACUUCGCCGGAGAGUCGCCGUACCCGAGAGCGCCGCC